GCCGGGGGAUGGCCGGAGGCGGAGCUUCAGGGUAAACAAACGUGACGCGUGCGUACCAGGGCGGGGCGGGGGGGGCAGUUUCCCGGGAGGUUCCUGAGCCUGCCUCGGAGAGGGCGGUGAAGACAGACGCGCAGUGCACCUUGGGGGUUGUGGUUCUCGUCCGGGUAUCGGCAAUCUCUAGGGAAACAUGACGGACUACAAGUCCCAGCGUUCCUUAGCUUCUGCCCCGCCGGCCCGCCUGCCCGCCUGCAGCUGGCCAUGGCCAGUGAGUAUUGUGCCCUCUGCCGUUGAACUCUGCCAGAGUUCUUAAUGAACGCGAAAGCUCUUGUUUAUUAACUUGUACUUUACCCGCACUCAAGCUCGUCAGAUGACUUUUCUUUUCCGUGCCAAUUAAAGAUGAGGGCUUUCAGAGACUCUAAACAGUACGAAGGACCCGGGUCCUGCUCCUCACCUCCGCCCAUUGUAUGAGAUAAGAGAUACUCACCCGCCACACCACAGGAUCACUGGCGGCGAGUGGUCCAACCUCACUUUCUUCCCACUUUUUCAAGACCCAGGAAGACAGGCGGUGUCUGGGAAUUCUAAGUGAGACUGUCGUUGAAUGACCUUGGUGGAAGGCACAACCUUAAGCCUGUCCUCUCCCUAUCCUGUAUCUGAAAAGGAAAAUGACAAAGGACUGAGCUCUCAUUGAUCUUGAAUUCUGAAGUAGUUUAAUGAUACGGAAAGCACUGGAAAGUAGAAGAAACAUUAGAAUGGAGACAUGGUGAGAGUUUUGCUCUUGUUGCCCAGGCUGGAGUGCAAUGGUGCAAUCUCGGCUCUGCCUCCCAGGUUCAAGCAAUUCUCCUGCCUCAGCCUCCCAAAUGGGUGGGAUUACAGGACAUCUUUUCAUCAAAAGACAUCACCAAGAGAGUGAAAAUGCAAGCCACAGACCACUUUCUAUUCAGGAUAUGUAAAGAAUGCCUACAAAUCAGUAAGAAAAAAGCAAUCCCUUCAAUUAACAGGUAAAACAAACACUUAAACAUACACUCCACAAAAGAAGAUAUCGGAAAGCCAACCAGUAUGUGAAAUGGUGCUCAUCAUCAUUACUUAUGAGGAAAAUGCAGAUUAAAACAUCCUAAGAUAAUCUUACACAUCUUUAAAAGACACAUCUUUAAAAAAUUAAUAGAAUGACAAUCCCAAAUGUUGGUAAGAUUCUAGAGCACCUAGAACUCUCAUGCAUUCCACUCUGGAAAACUGUUUGACACGUGAUCAAGUGAUCCUCUCGCCUCCUCCCAAAGUUGUGGGACAGGCAGAACCCAGUGUUUACUACAGGUAAACAUCUGCCUGCUUGAUGACCCAGAAAUUCCACUCCCAGGUGUGACACCCAAGAGAAAUGACUAAAUAUGUCCACCAAGAAAAACAAACAAAUACAUGAAGAUGCACAGUGGCUUCGUUCACAAAUAGGCCAAAAUAGAAAACAAGCCAAAUGCCCAUGAACAGGGGAAUGGAAAGAUAAAUUAUAGUGUAUACUUAAUCACACAAUAGAAUACUACAACCUAAUAAAGAUCAAAUUAAUGAAACAUGCAGCAACAUGGACAAAUCUUAAUGCUAGUAUGCGGAGCAGCAAAAGACAUACAAGAGCCCAUAUUAUGUGAUUCUGUGUAUGUGAAUCAAAGUUAAGAAUAGGCAAAAUUAUGAAAUAAGACAGUCACGAAGAGGUAAAUACCAUAUGAUUUCACUUAUACAUGGUACCUAAGAGUAGUCAGAUUUAUAGACAAAACUAGAGUGGUGUUUGUCAGGGCCUGGGAGUUGGGUGAAAUGGGUAGCUGGAUGGAUAUUAGGGUUGAGUUUUUCAAGAUAAGCUCUGGCAAAAUGGUUGAUAACAUUGUGAAUGUACUUACAUUUUGCUAAAUUGUACACUUUAAAAUAGUUAAGGCCAGGUGCAAUGGCUCACACCUGUAAUUCAAGGACUCUGGGAGGCCGAGGCUGCUGAAUCAUUUGAGCCCAGCUGUUCAAGACCAGCUUGGGCAACAUGGCAAAACCCCAUCUCUACAAAAAAAUAUGAAAAUUAGUCAGGUGUGGUGGCAUGCACCUGUAGUCUCAGCUACUCGCGAGGCCGAGGUGGAAGGAUAGCUUGAGCUAGGGAGGUUGAGCCCGCAGUGAGCUGAGAUCACACCACUGCACUCCAGCAUGGGGGACAGUGUGACAUCCUGUCUCAAAAAUUAAAAAUAAAAACAAACAAAUACAUAAAUAAAUAAAUAACAUUGUCAAGAUGGUAAUUUUUAUGUUCCAUAUAUAGUAACUCAAUUUUUUAAAAGAACAGGAAAAAAUAAUCUGAUGGAAGUCAGAACAGAAGCAACCUUUGACAGAGGGCAGUGGCUGGAGGGGACCUCUGGCCUGCUGGCAAAUAUUCUAUUUAUUUAUAUAGAUUGUGCUACUGAGCUGUGAAAGUUCAAAGGUCCGUGUCAUAUGAGUACUUUUCUUUGUGCCUUAGUAAAAGGUUUUGCCUUUUUGAUUUGUUUAACACAUUUAUUGCAUAAAACUCUGAGCUCUUACAUGUGACAUAGGAAGAGGUGGAAUGUUGGGUAGAGUAGGCAGGCUCAGGGAAGGAGGAAGCCGUGGUGAAUCUAUGGAGACGACGCCAAAACAGGCAGCAAAAUCUGGAAGAGGAAAUAAAAUGGCAGUCACUUGCAACUUCAUCCAGGGAUCUUAAUUCCUACAUAUUUUCUGUAAGAUCCAUGUUCUGACCAACGGCAUGGGAACCAGGAGCUGUCUUCUCUGUUUGAGCUCCAUGUGAAUCUACAGACCUGGACUUCAAAUGAGUUGUUAUUGUCUUCAGUAAUACAAUGCCAUGAUCCAAACUGUGGUGGGCCAUUUAUGCAGACAAACUCAAUCAAGAAAGUUUUACUGAGCAACUACUUUGUACCAGGGAAUGUGCUAAGUAUGAGAAUUAUAGUGAUGACCACAUCCUCCACAGACCUGCCCCUCUUGGAUCUUAGAGCCUUGGAAGGGGAAAUGCCCACUUGUUAAUUCGGUAUUGCUUCUCUGGCCCUAUAAAAAUAGAUGUGUGUUAAGUCUCCAAUAAGAAUCAGCUUCUCAAGCUGGAAUUUAGUUCUGGGAAGGGAGAAUUUAGUUCUGGAGGCAGCAAGGCAGGGCCUGGGAAGAGGGUGGCAGGGAGGAAGGGACUGACUGCUCCACUGAGUUGGAACAGGAUAUGUGCAGCUUUUAUAAAUAAAAGACAGAAAAACCUUAAACCUGUAGACAAUAGAUGAUAGGAAAUAGAAUGAGGUUUCUUGACCCCAGAAUAUUACAAAGAAUGAAUGAUGAUUUUCUAAUUAUACCUUUUCUGUAUUCUGAAGGUUGACACUUUAAUAUUAACAUCAAUUUUCUAAAAUUAUGACCUACUCUGCCUCUGGUGCUUGAAAGAAUAAAGACUUAACUGUGAAAUCAAUGCACAUUAGACUUAAAUUAGGCAAAGAGCAUGGACAAUAAUAGUGUGAGAAAGCUCAUAUUUUUAUUUUUCCUAAACAUAAGUACUAAAUACUAUUAGUCAAUGUGGAUUGAUAAUAUUUAUUUAUUCUAAUUUUUUUUUGAGACAGGACCUUGCUGUGUCAUCCAUGCUAGACCACAGUGGCACAAUCAUGGCUCGCUGCAGUCUUGACCUCCGGGGCUCAAGUGAUCCUCCCACUUCAGCCUCCUGAGUAGCUGGAACUACAGGUGCACAUCACCACACCCAGCUAAUUUUUGUAUUUUUUGUAGAGGCAGGGUUUCACCAUCUUGGCCAGGCUGGUCUCAAAUUCCUGAGCUCAAGCAAUCUACCCACUUCAGCCUCCCAAAGUGCUAGGAUUACAGGCAUGAACCAUUGCACCCAGAAGAUUGAUAAUAUUUACAAUCAGUAGUGAUACCAAAACACAGGGAGAAAAAACAAGUUUUAGUUAAUGUAUUCUAAAAAAAGAGAGAAAAAAUUGGAGACCUAUAAUCCAAGAUUAAAAGACUCAGCGAGAAAGAACCAUAUAGAAUUUUUGGAAUAAAUAACAAUUAACACAGUAUCUGCAGCCUACUUCAGUUCUAUUUUAAAUUAACUAUAGUUGCAAAUGAAUACAAUUUCUAUAUAAGACUGAGCACAAAUGAAUGAAUUAUUUGGUAAUAUUCGCAGGGGAUAAACAGGCAGUUCCAAAUGAAACAUCUUUUUUCUUUUUUUCAGACAGGGUCUUCCUCUUUGCCCAGGCUGGAAUGCAGUGGCACAGUCACGGCUCACUGCAUCUCCAAUUUUCCAGAGUCAAGCAAUCCUCCCACCUCAGCCUCCUGAGUAGCUGUGACCAAACCUGUAUGCCACCACCCCUGACUAACGAUCAAUUAAAUUGUGAAAUUUUUUUCCAGAUUAAUGGUCAUUUCCUAAUUUAUCAAAUGUUUUUUUUCAAGCUGGACUAUGAACAAAGAAUUGGAUAGUUUUUGGUUUUUUGGCUUUUUUUGUUUUUGAGACGGAGUUUCACUCCUGUUACCCAGGCUGGAGUGCAAUGGCGCAAUCUAGGCUCACCGCAACCUCCGCCUCCUGGGUUCAGGCAAUUCUCCUGCCUCAGCCUCCUGAGUAGCUGGGAUUACAGGCACGCUCCACCGUGCCCAGCUAAUUUUUUGUAUUUUUAGUAGAGACGGGGUUUCACCACGUUGACCAGGAUGGUCUUGAUCUCUUGACCUUGUGAUCCACCCGCCUCGGCCUCCCAAAGUGCUGGGAUUACAGGCAUGAGCCACUGUGCCUGGUCAGAAUUGGAUGUUUUAGAAAAAAGAUGCCUUAAUGUGUCAGCCUUCCUGCUGACAGAAUGUUGCCAUGUACAUCCUCUUACCUGAUCCUCCUGACAGCUCUGGGAAGUGGAUAAAUGACACACAUAAUCAAGAUCCGGGCAGUUAUGAUUAGGGGUUCCCACUCACAGAAUUUGAGGACAAGGCCUCUGAAAAUAAAGAAUAGUUGAAAGUAGACAUUUACAGAAAUAAUCCAACUAAAAUGUAAAUAUAUUGCCAUGGAUACCUGAAAACUACCCAAGAUCAAUCAAAGUGAUUACAAUGCACAUUAGACUUAAACAGGCAAAGAGCAUGGACAAUAAUAGUGUGAGAAAGCUCAUAUUUUUAUUUUUCCUACUUAAACGUAAGUACUAAAUACUAUUAGUCAAUGUGGAUUGAUAAUAUUUAUUUAUUCUAAUUUUUUUUUGAGACAGGUCCUUAUCCUCAGGACUAGAAUGUACCUGAAGAAAGCUGCAACUUUGCCAAUUAUAGAGUAAUAUAACUGUCUGGAAGAAGGAUGUUUUAGUGGAAGGACUGUUAAAUUUGAAGGGAGGCAAAGAAUAAGACUUUUUCCACAUUGUUUAGGAAAAGAGAUGGGCCAGGUACAGUGGCUCAUGCUUGUAAUCCCACCACUUUGGGAGGCCAAGUGGGGUAGAUCCCUUGAGCUCGUCAAUUUGAGACCAACCUGGGCAACAUGGCAAAAUCCCAUUUAUACAAAAAAUACAAAAAUUAGCUGGGUGUGGUGGUUCAUGCCUGUACUUUCAGCUACUUGGGAAGCUGAGGUGGGAGGAUGGUUUGAACCCAGGAAGUAAAGGUUGCAGUGAGCCAAGAUAGCACCAUUGCAAUCCAGCCUAGGUGACAGAGACCCUAUCUCAAAAAAAAGAAAAAGGAAAAAAAAUGGCUUUCAUCAACGAUAGAGGUAAGCACAAUCUGUUUGGGGAGCAUCUGGUAAUUAACUCCAAGUCAACAUGGAAGGGAGCGGUCUGGUGGUAAAGGAAGGCUUCCUAAAAUAUAUGGCACCUGAGCUGCAUUCUGGAAGACAAGAGGAUAUUGGUCAUGACAAGAAGAGGUUUCAGCAGAACUUGGGGCUGACUUACUCUGUGAUGUUGACCUCUCUGGAUUUCACGCUUUCAUCUAUAAAAGUCAAGAAUCCCAGCUGGGCAUGGUGGCUCACACUUGUAAUCCCAGCACUUUGGGGGUCUGAGGUGAGCAGAUCACUUGAGGUCAAGAGUUUGAGACCAGCCUGGCCAACAUGCAUGGCAAAACCCUGUCUCUCUUAAAAAUACAAAAAUUAGCUAGGCGUGGUGGCACAACACCUGCAAUCCCAGCUACUUGGGAGUCUGAGGCCAGCGAAUUACUUGGACCUGGGAGACAGAGGUUGUAAUGAGCCAAGAUCACGCCAUUAUACUCCAGCCUGGGUAAGAGUGAGACUGUCUCAAAAAAAAAAAAAAAAUCCUUUAACUCCAGCAUUAUUCAUACUGGGUAAUCCUGUGCACCAAUAGAAAAUCAGAAAUCUUCCUGCUUAAGGACAGAAUAAAGUUCAAUCCCUUUGUAUCUUCUCACCUAGCAAAAAGCCAUAAAAGACAUUUCCAUGCACUUUCGUCUAUCAGUAGGAAUAUUAUGUCUUCUCUUUCCAGUUUGCAAAUUCAAAAGUCCAAGUCAUUCAAGGUCAGUGCAAAAGCAGGCAAAUUGGCCAAGUAGUUCAGAUUUGCAGGAAAAAAUGUGUCAUCUGCACUGAAUGCAUGACUUAACAUGUUCAGUGUGAUUUCACAGAACAGUGUCUAAUGGUCCAUGUGUGUGUAUGCACUCAGAAAGUGGUUCUCAUCGGCUAAACCUGGACAAAGGCUAUGAAAAGACUGAGGAGAAAUGAAAAAGGGCAAAUAUAAGGAAGAAACUAUUGAGAAGAAAAGUCAUAAAGGCAUCUUAUAUACAUACAACUUUUAUUAAAAGCUGCUAAAACGAAGAGCCUUCUAAAAAGUAACACCAACUUUUGGUUAAAGAAAACUGACUGAAAAAUACUUAUUUAACUCUGAUCUCUUAAGAAAUCCUACUAAAAUGACAGUGGAUAUUCUAAAAAUAUAGGAAAAUUGAAAAGAUGGAAGCAGCCUAAAUGUUCAUUAGUGGAUGAAUGGAUAAAGAAAAUGAACAUACACUCAUAGUGCAAUGUUAUUCAGUCUUUUUUUCCUUUUCUUUUUUUUUUUUUUGAGAUGGAGUCUCGCUCUGUCACCCAGGGAGUGGAGUGGUGUGAUCUUGGCUCACUGCAACCUCUGCCUCCUGGGUUAAUGCCAUUCUGCUGCUUCAGCCUCCUGAAUAGUUGGGAUUACAGGCACCCACCACCAUGCCUGGCUAAUUUUUAUAUUUUUAGUAGAGCUGGGGUUUCGUCAUUUUGGCCAGGGUGGUCUCAAACUCCUGACGUCAGAUAAUCCGCUCACCCUUGGCCAUCCUCAGGCCCACCUUGGGCUCACCCCAUGCUGGGAUUACAGGUGUGAGCCACCUCGCCCAGCCUGAGCCCCCUGAAUUCUAAGCCAGCAGCAGGGAGAGCUAAAAAGCAGCUCUUUGCAAUGCAGAACCUCCUGAAGAUGUAGGAACUGGUGACACCAGGCCCUUCUGGAAGUGUAAGUAAAGGUGGGAUGUAAAAAGAGGAGGCUGUAAAUGCACUUGGGAAGCAUUUGUAUCACUAGACAUCAGAUGCCUUACACCUCCUGGGAAACCAACUGCCUUUCAGAGCUUAUUCUCCUGAAAAAGUAGAUAAAAUUGAGAACUCUGGGAUGGGAGGGUACUAAACAAUUUCAGUUGGGGUUGCAGUGUUGGAAAUGGGGAGAUUAAAGUAAUAUUUUCCAUGCACCUCCCUCUUCUUCACCCAGCCCCAAAGCCACCAUGUGCAGUUGAACAAGUCCGUCCUGCGCAGGGUACCUGCCUGAAGGGCUGGGUGGGGCUGAGAUUCAGCUUCUCUCUCCAGCCAUGUGCCCUGGUACAGGGUGUGCCAAAGGAAGGUGCCCCUUUCCCUCAUAGUCCAGAAGGUACCUUCUGAUCACCAACACUGCUCCUAGAGAGAAGGUGCCUCUUCCUAAUUUUCACAAAGACCUGGCAUGGACUUGUAAUGGCCCACCCUGAGACUCUGGCAGCAAACAAUACUCUUCAUGAAAGAUUCUUUUCAGGGGUAUCCAACAAGCCUUACCCCAGAACACCCACAACAGCGCAGCCGGGUGACUCUGCAGCAAAGCCCACAGUUGAAAAGCUGCACAGACCCAGCUUCACCCCCUACCACCAGCAGGCAGCUGAGAAUCCAUCUGAGGAAAACCUUUAUCAAGAAAACAGAAAUGAGCUGAAAAAGGCAAUUGGAAGGAAAUGGACUUUUAAAGACGACUCAUCCUUGUCUUCAGAAAUCAGAAAUAUCACCUGCAUGAAACAACAACGAGAAGAUAUAAAAAAGAAACAUAGAAUGAGAAAGAGUUUUGGAAAUUAAAACAAGAUACAAGAAAUGAAAAUAGAAAGCUUGGGAGAAAAGUUGAGGAAAUAGGAUGCAAAUUGAAAAGAAGCCGGUGCGGUGGCUCACAUCUGUAAUCCCAGCACUUUGGGAGGCCAAGGUGGGUGGAUCAUCUAGGUCAGAAGUUCAAGACCAGCCUGGUCAAAAUGAUGAAACCCUAUCUCUACAAAAAUAUAAAAAAUUAGCCAGGUAUGAUGGCAGGUGCCUAUAAUCCCAGCUGCUUGGGAGGCUGAGGCGGGAGAAUCUCUUGAACCUCAGAGGCGGAGGUUGCAGUGAGCCGAGAUCAUGCCACUGCACUCCAGCCUGAGAGACAAAGCAAGACUCUGUCUCAAAAACAAAAAACAAAAAAAAGGAAGAAAGAAAGAAAAUAUAAUUAGACUGGGUGAGGUGACUCAUACCUGUAAUCCCAGCACACUGGGAGGCCAAGGCGGGCAGAUCACUUGAGGUCAGGAAUUAGAGAACAAACAGCCUACUCAAAAUGGUGAAACCCUGUCUCUACUAAAAAUACAAAAAUUAGCCAGGUAUGGUGGUGCGUGCCUGUAGUCCUAGCUACUCAGGAGGCUGAGACAGGAGAAUCCUUGAACCUAGGAGGCGGAGGUUGCAGUGAGCUGAGAUUGUACCACAGCACUCCAGCCUGGGUGACAGAGCGAGACCCUGUUUCAAACAAACAAUCAAAAAGAAAUAGAGAAAUAGGAAAGCAGAGCUCAGGAGGCAAGACAAGGUUUGGAAUAGAGAUUUUGUAAUUCUUUAAACUGGAAGAGAAUUCACUCUAUAAGAAAAAUGGUGUCAAGAAUCAAGACAAGAGGCCUUGAAGGCAAACAUUUGUAAGUGCCAUUUUCAGUGUGAAGAGAGAAGGAACUUCCAUUGAGAGAACAGCCAAGAAACCCAAGGAAAAUGGGAGUUUCAUAAAGGGGGUAGGGAGUGAUGAUCAAGGUCAAGGGCUCAGGGGGUCAAAAGGGCCCAGAUCAUUAGAAUAAACAAUGAAAACUUUCUAAACAGGGUCUUCUAAUCUGAGGAUUAAGCUCACACCCUUCAAUGGGCAUUAAGUUUUAGAGGAGAUUUUGAGUUUGGGAAAGAUCUCGUAGUUUUCCAGGACAGCACACAAUGAAUAUGACCCUGUUUUCCGUAAAUACACAGUUGUCUUUCAUGGUGUGGUAGCACAAACCCUGCAUUAAUAAGAAAGUGAAUCUUAGGGCAUAUUGUCAUUACCAUCCCCAUACAAAGCUCUGUCCCUAUUUUUCAUCCACACAAGGGAUGGCAUUGUCUGCCAGAGAUGAGCAUUUGAACUAAAGUUCAUGGCUUGGCUGGGAUCUUCCUUUUGGCUGUACUUCCCCAGGGAUCAGCUGCCUGUCAUAGGCUCUGGUGUUACUGACACCCCAAACAAGACGGAAGCUCAGGGAAAACAAACAACUCGGAGCUGCUUUCCCUUCCUGGAGCGUCAAAAG